rnacentral:rRNA from 1 species
CACGUAGGGGGCAAGCGUUGUCUGGAUUUAUUGGGCGUAAAGAGCGUGUAGGCGGCCAGGUAGGUCUGCUGUGAAAACUCGAGGCUUAACCUCGAGCUGUCGGCGGAAACCAUCUGGCUAGAGUCCGGAAGAGGAGAAUGGAAUUCCCGGUGUAGCGGUGAAAUGCGCAGAUAUCGGGAAGAACACCCGUGGCGAAGGCGGUUCUCUGGGACGGUACUGACGCUGAGACGCGAAAGCGUGGGGAGCGAACAGG